rnacentral:rRNA from 1 species
UGGGGAAUAUUGCACAAUGGGGGAAACCCUGAUGCAGCAACGCCGCGUGAAGGAAGACGGUUUUCGGAUUGUAAACUUCUUUUCUUAGUGAAGAAACAAAUGACGGUAGCUAAGGAAUAAGCAUCGGCUAACUACGUGCCAGCAGCCGCGGUAAUACGUAGGAUGCGAGCGUUAUCCGGAAUUACUGGGUGUAAAGGGAGCGCAGGCGGGACUGCAAGUUGGAUGUGAAAUACCGCAGCUUAACUGCGGAGCUGCAUCCAAAACUGUAGUUCUUGAGUGGAGUAGAGGCAAGCGGAAUUCCGAGUGUAGCGGUGAAAUGCGUAGAUAUUCGGAGGAACACCAGUGGCGAAGGCGGCUUGCUGGGCUCUAACUGACGCUGAGGCUCGAAAGUGUGGGGAGCAAACAGG